UCCCCAUCGAAAUCACAGUACCAACCAGAAACAUGCCAAGAAAAGCUGCACCAGCCAAGCGUGAAGGAAGAGCAAGCGCAGGCAAAAUCAUCAGCAGCGCAUCCGGCUGCAAGCCAUGCACGAUCCCAGUCGCAAAUGUCGCUAACCCAAUUUUCUUCUUACCACUCGAGGCGGUUACUAUCGAUUCAUCAUAACUGACAUCACACUCGCCAUUUUCAAGAGCAAUGCAAGGGACCGACACCUCCGAUGCCUCCCGAAUCCCCUGAGCACCGAUGACGAGCAGG
rnacentral:misc_RNA from 1 species